rnacentral:rRNA from 1 species
GAUCCUGGCUCAGAUUGAACGCUGGCGGCAGGCUUAGCACAUGCAAGUCGAACGGUAACAUAAAGAAGCUUGCUUCUUUGAUGACGAGUGGCGGACGGGUGAGUAAUGCUUGGGAAUCUAGCUUAUGGAGGGGGGAUAACUACGGGAAACUGUAGCUAAUACCGCGUAGAAUCGAGAGAUGAAAGUGUGGGACCUUCGGGCCGACAUGCCACUAGGAAUGAGCCCAACGUAGGGAGUUAGGUUAGG